AUUCUUCAACCCUCCCUUUUCUUAGUGAAUUGAGAGGAGUUUGGAUUCUGAGUGUUGCUCCUAACCCGAGCUCAUUCGUAAUAUAUUAGCAUCCAUAUUCGACUUCGGAUUGACUUGGCGUAAUAGACUAUUCGCUGAGGAAUCUAACUUCGGUUAGAGCCGUUUUUGAACUAGGAAGCUGCUAAUCUAGCUUAGUCUACCUUUAG
rnacentral:misc_RNA from 1 species